CGCCUGUUUAUCAAAAACAUGUCUAUUUGAAAUUAUAUAUAGUCUAGCCUGCUCACUGACAAAGAUGUUAAAUAGCCGCGGUAUUUUGACCGUGCAAAGGUAGCAUAAUCAUUAGUUUUUUAAUUGGAAACUUGUAUGAAUGGUUGGACAAAGAAAAAGCUGUCUCUUUUAUUAAAAUUGAAAUUAACUUCUAAGUGAAAAGGCUUAGAUUUUCUAGAGGGACGAUAAGACCCUAUAAAGCUUUAUAAAUUAAGUAAGUUAGAACAAAUUUUAUAGAAUAAAGGUAAAUUUAAUAUAUUUAUUUGGUUGGGGCGACAAUGGUAUAAAUUAAAUAACUGCUAUUAAAAUUAAACAAUUAUAUUUGAUUAAAAUUAUAAUUGAUCCUUAUUAUGGAUUAAAAGAUCAAGUUACUUUAGGGAUAACAGCGUAAUUUCUUUUAAGAGUUCUUAUCAAAGAAGAAGUUUGCGACCUCGAUGUUGAAUUAAAAUGUCUUUAUAGUGCAGAAGCUAUAAAAGAAGGUCUGUUCGACCUUUAAUUUUUUACGUGAUCUGAGUUCAGACCGG
rnacentral:rRNA from 1 species